CCUACGGGAGGCAGCAGUAGGGAAUCUUCCACAAUGGGCGAAAGCCUGAUGCAGCAACGCCGCGUGGGUGAAGAAGGUCUUCGGAUCGUAAAACCCUGUUGUUAGAGAAGAAAGUGCGUGAGAGUAACUGUUCACGUUUCGACGGUAUCUAACCAGAAAGCCACGGCUAACUACGUGCCAGCAGCCGCGGUAAUACGUAGGUGGCAAGCGUUAUCCGGAUUUAUUGGGCGUAAGGGGAACGAAGGCGGUCUUGUAAGUCUGAUGUGAAAGCCGUCGGCUUAACCGGAGUAGUGCAUUGGAAACUGGGAGAAUAGAGUGCAGAAGAGGAGAGUGGAACUCCAUGUGUAGCGGUGAAAUGCGUAGAUAUAUGGAAGAACACCAGUGGCGAAGGCGGCUCUCUGGUCUGUAACUGACGCUGAGGUUCGAAAGCGUGGGUAGCAAACAGGAUUAGAUACCCUUGUAGUC
rnacentral:rRNA from 1 species